GACGAACGCUGGCGGCGUGCUUAACACAUGCAAGUCGAACGAAGAGCGAUGGAAGCUUGCUUCUAUCAAUCUUAGUGGCGAACGGGUGAGUAACGCGUAAUCAACCUGCCCUUCAGAGGGGGACAACAGUUGGAAACGACUGCUAAUACCGCAUACGAUCUAAUCUUGGCAUCGAGGAUAGAUGAAAGGUGGCCUCUACAUGUAAGCUAUCACUGAAGGAGGGGAUUGCGUCUGAUUAGCUAGUUGGAGGGGUAACGGCCCACCAAGGCGAUGAUCAGUAGCCGGUCUGAGAGGAUGAACGGCCACAUUGGGACUGAGACACGGCCCAGACUCCUACGGGAGGCAGUAGUGGGGAAUCUUCCGCAAUGGACGAAAGUCUGACGGAGCAACGCCGCGUGAGUGAUGACGGCCUUCGGGUUGUAAAAGCUUCUGUUA
rnacentral:rRNA from 1 species